rnacentral:rRNA from 1 species
UACGUAGGGUGCGAGCGUUAAUCGGAAUUACUGGGCGUAAAGCGUGCGCAGGCGGUGAUGUAAGACAGAUGUGAAAUCCCCGGGCUCAACCUGGGAACUGCAUUUGUGACUGCAUCGCUGGAGUGCGGCAGAGGGGGAUGGAAUUGCGCGUGUAGCAGUGAAAUGCGUAGAUAUGCGGAGGAACACCGAUGGCGAAGGCAAUCCCCUGGGCCUGCACUGACGCUCAUGCACGAAAGCGUGGGGAGCAAACAGG